GGUAGGGUAUUGGCCUACCGUGGCUAUGACGGGUAACGGGGAAUUAGGGUUCGAUUCCGGAGAGGGAGCCUGAGAAACGGCUACCACAUUUAAGGAAGGCAGCAGGCGCGCAAAUUACCCAAUCCUAAUACAGGGAGGUAGUGACAAGAAAUAACAAUACAGAACCUCACGGUUUUGUAAUUGGAAUGAGUUAAGUAUAAACCCCUUAUCGAGUAUCAAUUGGAGGGCAAGUCUGGUGCCAGCAGCCGCGGUAAUUCCAGCUCCAAAUGUGUAUAUUAGAGGCGGGGCAGUCAGAAAGUUCGGGCACCAUACUUGCCCUACAAUUAAUACUAAUAAAGGGAUAUUUACAUAACUUAUUCCAAAUUCACAUCCGUGAGCUUUAGGAGGGAUUUUUCUUGGAGAAACCUAGAGGGCUUAAAGCAGGUAAUUGCCGUGCAUACUCCAGCAUUAGUAAUAUAAAGGAUUCUCAUCUUCCUAUUAAUCUAGAAUCAAAAUAAUGAG
rnacentral:rRNA from 1 species